GGCUGCCACACGUGCACAAUGGGUGAGGGCUGGAAUGGGCCGAAGACCACCCAAACAGGGCAAAUUGAGGCAUAAUGGCCUGCUGGGGGGAGGGGGGACCUCCAGAGACACCCCCGCCCCGAGUACAAAAUGUUUUUGUACUCCCCUCCAGUGGGUCUCAAAGAAGUCCCCAGUGGGGCUACACCUUGGCCCCGUAUUCAUGGUGCAGGAACAAACAGUGAAUUGUUGGCGACACCUCGCAAGCUACUUGUUAGUACAAUUUGAUUUUGCUACAAGAUGACAGCAGCAACUGCUCACUAUUGAGAAUUCUGACAAGUGGUUUCGUUAAAACUAAAGCAUACCUAAACUGCUUCUCUCCGUGUGAAGCCUAAGUCCUAUUUUUAUGAGACUUUUUAUUUUUCAACAGAAAGGAAAUCUCGUUAUAUUUUGUUAAAUGCACCUUUGUAAAGCCAAGCAGUUUGAAAUCUCUGUGAUUGUAUUCUCUCGCAUUGCAGGCAAACAAUAAAGCAUUUACUUACUUUUCUGAUGAAGGAAAGACACACACA